rnacentral:lncRNA from 1 species
CCAGUCUACAUUCCGUGGCAGCCUGGCUCCAACAUCCCAGGGAAUUGUGUCACUCCCAUUGAGCAGCUGUGGGGCCCUCUCCCACAUGGCCCAGGUCCACCACUCUGUCAAAGGUCGCACAGCCCAGACAAAAACAGGACACAGCAGUGUGUGAAUGAGCCGGGCUUUCUCCUUCCCUCCACGUAAUAGAAGGUGCCUGAGGUUGUUGAAACACAGUCCAUUUCUCCUGGGAAUGACAAGAAUUUGAGGGAUGCUGACUUUCAAGGAAUACUGCAUGACAGGCAUCAAGAUAAACCUGAUGAAGAAAACAUAGGCCAGAAUCUGGGAAUCGGGAGCAAAGUAAUACAGCUUCGGGGACAGGCACGUAAUGAGGUCAUGAUGUAGGAGACUCCCUGCAGGACUGGCGGCCCCUGUUCCCUGGGUUGUUCUGGCUCUUUCAGAUUUAUAUGUUAACAAGCUGAAUUCCUGCUUCAUCUGGAGGACUGCACAGUGUAUCUGAGAGAGGAUUUUCAGGAGGCCAGAAAAUCAAGCUGGAGGGAUUUUCAGCGUGUUGGGAGAUUGCUACCUGUUUUAAGUCAGGCCAUUGCCACGUCUUUUUCCCCACCUUGGAGACUUCAGCAAAUUGCUCAAAUGUCGGUGUGCUCUCAUGAACAGAAACGAUGGCACGGUGGGUCCUGGUCUCAAGACUUCCUCUCAAUGAUUCAGAGGUCUUGGGGGUUUUUUGUCUGAAUAUCAGGCAAAGAGGAAGGACGGCUACAAUGGAGGAGUCUCCUACCACGCUUGUGGUCGUCACUGUAGUGCUCAGUUGAAUGGUGUGUCCAUUGGGGUUGGAGUCCCCAUCCUGUUCUGGGUCCUGGCCCCCCACAGGCUCCAGGGACAUAACCCUUCCAGUUCAGGAUCAUGUGCUGGGGCACUGUUCCCUGAGGUGGGACUCUGGGCUGUAACAGCUGCUUUUGAAGCAUGUUCCAGCUUCAACCACGUGCUUGGACGACACCAGCUCUUCCCACAUACUCUUCCCCAGCUCUUGUGUUGAGUUUGGCUUCCACCUUCCUCCAGCUGGGUCUCGCUAUGUUGCCCAAGCCAUUCUGGAGCUCCUGCGCUUAAGUGAUCCUCCUGCCUCAGCCUCCCAAGUAACUGGAAUUAUAAAUGUGAGCCACUGUGCCCAGCAAUUACAAAAUUUUUGGAAUGCAAUUGGGAAGUACAGCUGAAAAACUUCAGCAACGUGGGCUGUUUGAUUGUACAAUCGCACUUCUUGGAAUUUAUCCUACAGAAAUCAGUAGUCAAGUUCACAAAAACUGACAAUAGCCAUUACAGAGAAGCAGAAGAAAGGGAAAUAAAAACAUUCAAACCUACCAACAGGAGAUUGGACAAAUAAAUCAUGUUAUAACUAUACAAUGGGCUAUUAUGUAACCAUUAAAA